rnacentral:rRNA from 1 species
GCAAAACGCGAAGAACCUUACCAAGGCUUGACAUCCCCCUUGACCGGCACAGAGAUGUGCCCUCUCCUUCGGGAGCAAGGGUGACAGGUGGUGCAUGGUUGUCGUCAGCUCGUGUCGUGAGAUGUUGGGUUAAGUCCCGCAACGAGCGCAACCCUUAUCCCUUAGUUGCCAGCAUUUUAAGGUGGGCACUCUAAGGAGACUGCCGAUGAUAAAUCGGAGGAAGGUGGGGAUGACGUCAAAUCAUCAUGCCCCUUAUGUCUUGGGCUACACACGUGCUACAAUGGUCGGUACGAAAGGGGAGCGAAGGAGUGAUCUGGAGCAAAUCCCAAUAAACCGAUCUCAGUUCGGAUUGUAGGCUGCAACUCGCCUACAUGAAGUCGGAGUUGCUAGUAAUCGCGAAUCAGAACGUCGCGGUGAAUGCGUUCCCGGGUCUUGUACACACCG